rnacentral:rRNA from 1 species
GUGGGUAACCUGCCCAUAUGACUGGGAUAACUCCGGGAAACCGGGGCUAAUACCGGAUAAUAUUUUGAACUGCAUGGUUCGAAAUUGAAAGGCGGCUUCGGCUGUCACUUAUGGAUGGACCCGCGUCGCAUUAGCUAGUUGGUGAGGUAACGGCUCACCAAGGCAACGAUGCGUAGCCGACCUGAGAGGGUGAUCGGCCACACUGGGACUGAGACACGGCCCAGACUCCUACGGGAGGCAGCAGUAGGGAAUCUUCCGCAAUGGACGAAAGUCUGACGGAGCAACGCCGCGUGAGUGAUGAAGGCUUUCGGGUCGUAAAACUCUGUUGUUAGGGAAGAACAAGUGCUAGUUGAAUAAGCUGGCACCUUGACGGUACCUAACCAGAAAGCCACGGCUAACUACGUGCCAGCAGCCGCGGUAAUACGUAGGUGGCAAGCGUUAUCCGGAAUUAUUGGGCGUAAAGCGCGCGCAGGUGGUUUCUUAAGUCUGAUGUGAAAGCCCACGGCUCAACCGUGGAGGGUCAUUGGAAACUGGGAGACUUGAGUGCAGAAGAGGAAAGUGGAAUUCCAUGUGUAGCGGUGAAAUGCGUAGAGAUAUGGAGGAACACCAGUGGCGAAGGCGACUUUCUGGUCUGUAACUGACACUGAGGCGCGAAAGCGUGGGGAGCAAACAGGAUUA